GAGGCAGCUUGAUGAGAACGGCCCAUAGGGCAGGAGUCUACCUCCUGUUUCUGUAGUGAGAGGCAGCUUGAUGUACAAGUACCACCUCUUGGACAGGAUGCUGGCCUAUCACAGGGCCUUAACCCCUGGACAGGACGCCAGCCUAUCACAGGGCCGUACCCCUGGACAGGACGCCGGCCUAUCACAGGGCCGUAUCCAGGACGCUUGCCCAUCACAGGGCCGUACCCAGGACGCUAGCCCAUCACAGGGCCGUACCCAGGACGCUAGCCCAUCACAGGGCCGUACCCAGGACGCUAGCCUAUCACAGGGCCUUAACCCCGAUCUUAUCUCCUUAAUGCUGAAUGUCAAGCGGAGACUUGUCAGGUUUUUCUUCGGUUUGACUCGACCAGAGAUUGAAUUCAUAACUUUCCAAUCUCAGGACACUGUAACCACAAGGCCACUGAGUUGGUCUAUGAGGCAGUUAAACAUGACCUUUAUGAAUUAUGAAGCCUUUAUGUGCUUGUUUGGAUUAUAUAAAGUGACGUUAGCUGAUCAAGAUGAUCCAAUAGAAUAAUGCAUCAGAACUCCUAAACCACAGACCUUAUUUUCAGUGUUUAUUCAUAAAAAACACACGUUUUGACCAAUGAGCCUCUGUUAAUAGAGCCCCACAGUGGAGGUGUCAUAAUACCCAUAAAACCUAGCGGUCAAACAAGGAAAUUAGAAACUUUAAAUAAGGUCUGUGUUUCGGGAAGGCUUACCAUGGCGUGAAGUUUUGAUAACCGUGUAAAUCUCUCUAGGACAAGGUGACUUUUAUCAAUAUAUUAGCCUGUAUUUACACUCAGUAAAAAAAAAAAAAUGCUAAUUAGCCUCAAAGAAGACAUCAUGCAAGACUUCAAAACCCUGCAUCUCAUCUCUAGCUGAUAUCUAACAGGUAUUGAUCCUACAGGUCUCCUCUAGCUGACACCUAACAGGUAUUGAUCCUGCAGGUCUCCUCUAGCUGAUAUCUAACAGGUAUUGAUCCUACAGGUCUCCUCUAGCUGAUACCUAACAGGUAUUGAUCCUGCAGGUCUCCUCUAGCUGAUAUCUAACAGGUAUUGAUCCUACAGGUCUCCUCUAGCUGAUAUCUAACAGGUAUUGAUCCUGCAGGUCUCCUCUAGCUGAUACCUAACAGGUAUUGAUCCUGCAGGUCUCCUCUAGCUGAUACCUUUUCUAACAGGUAUUGAUCCUGCAGGUCUCCUCUAGCUGAUAUCUAACAGGUAUUGAUCCUGCAGGUCUCCUCUAGCUGAUACCUUUACUAACAGGUAUUGUGUCAAUUUAAAACCUGCACAAGACAGUUAACAGAAUUGUCCGUUUAAAGAAAUCUAGACAAUUUCUUCAUUACUACAUUUAACUAACAUUAGAUAGUUGAUCCAGAGAUUCUGACCUUUGCCUCGAUUCGUCAGUCUCAUCCAGAUCAUCCAGAGCCGUACCUUCAGGCUCUGAUCAGGCCCUACACCCAAACAAGGGCACUGCGUUCAUCCACCUCUGGCCUGCUGGCCCCCCUACCUCUGAGGAAGCACAGUUCCCGCUCAGCCCAGUCAAAACUGUUCGCUGCUCUGGCACCCCAAUGGUGGAACAAGCUCCCUCACGACGCCAGGACAGCGGAGUCAAUCACCACCUUCCGGAGACACCCGAAACCCCACCUCUUUAAGGAAUACCUGGG
rnacentral:lncRNA from 1 species